AGCUCCGGUGGCUUGGUGGUUAGAGCAUACGCCUCGGAUGCGGAAGGUUGUGGGUUCGAUCCCCAGUCGAGUCA